UACGUAGGGUGCGAGCGUUGUCCGGAAUUAUUGGGCGUAAAGAGCUUGUAGGCGGUUUGUCGCGUCUGCCGUGAAAAUUCGAGGCUCAACCUCGAACUUGCGGUGGGUACGGGCAGACUAGAGUGUGGUAGGGGAGACUGGAAUUCCUGGUGUAGCGGUGAAAUGCGCAGAUAUCAGGAGGAACACCGGUGGCGAAGGCGGGUCUCUGGGCCGAAACUGACGCUGAGGAGCGAAAGCGUGGGGAGCGAACAGG
rnacentral:rRNA from 1 species